rnacentral:rRNA from 1 species
CCUACGGGGGGCUGCAGUGGGGAAUUUUGGACAAUGGGCGCAAGCCUGAUCCAGCCAUGCCGCGUGCGGGACGAAGGCCUUCGGGUUGUAAACCGCUUUCAGCCGGAAAGAAAUCGCUGUUUUUAAUACAGACAGUGGAUGACGGUACCGGAAGAAGAAGCACCGGCUAACUACGUGCCAGCAGCCGCGGUAAUACGUAGGGUGCGAGCGUUAAUCGGAAUUACUGGGCGUAAAGCGUGCGCAGGCGGUUUUGUAAGCCAGACGUGAAAUCCCCGGGCUUAACCUGGGAACUGCGUUUGGAACUGCAAGACUAGAGUGUGUCAGAGGGAGGUGGAAUUCCACGUGUAGCAGUGAAAUGCGUAGAUAUGUGGAGGAACACCGAUGGCGAAGGCAGCCUCCUGGGAUAACACUGACGCUCAUGCACGAAAGCGUGGGGAGCAAACAGGAUUAGAUACCCCUGUAGUC